UACGGAGGGAGCUAGCGUUGUUCGGAAUUACUGGGCGUAAAGCGCACGUAGGCGGCUUUGUAAGUUAGAGGUGAAAGCCCGGGGCUCAACUCCGGAAUUGCCUUUAAGACUGCAUCGCUUGAAUCAUGGAGAGGUGAGUGGAAUUCCGAGUGUAGAGGUGAAAUUCGUAGAUAUUCGGAAGAACACCAGUGGCGAAGGCGACUCACUGGACAUGUAUUGACGCUGAGGUACGAAAGCGUGGGGAGCAAACAGG
rnacentral:rRNA from 1 species